rnacentral:sRNA from 1 species
UUUUUUCUCAACCAAAUCCACACGCGUCCCGACACGUGCGGCCGGGUGCCGUUCCCAUGGGAACGGUUGCCGCAUGCGGGGGCGCGGAGGAACAAC